rnacentral:sRNA from 4 species
AUAUCUCUCUGUACGGGAAGGAUGAGAAGCUUCGACCAAGGUUCGAUUCGAACGCAGCGAGAAAGCGUUGCCGCAGGCAACGACCCGAAGGGCGAAGCGCGCAGCGCUGAGUCAUCCUUCCCCCACCACCA